AUUGAACGCUGGCGGCAGGCCUAACACAUGCAAGUCGAACGAGUGGCGUACGGGUGGGUAAUGUCUCGGAAACUGACUGAUGGAUGGGGAUAACUAAUGGGAGCGGUAGCUACAACAGAAUACCUUAGGUUGGGACCAGAUGGGAUGGGCUAGUAGGUUGGGUAAAGGCUCACCAAGGCGACGCUCCCUAGCUGGUCUGAGAGGAUGACCAGCCACACUGGAACUGAGACACGGUCCAGACUCCUACGGGAGGCAGCAGUGGGGAAUAUUGGACAAUGGGCGAAAGCCUGAUGCAGCCAUGCCGCGUGUAUGAAGAAGGCCUUCGGGUUGUAAAGUACUUUCAGCGGGGAGGCGGUACCCGCAGAAGAAGCACCGGCUAACUCCGUGCCAGCAGCCGCGGUAAUUC
rnacentral:rRNA from 1 species